CCGUCGAUAGCUCAGUUGGCAGAGCGGUGGACUGUAGAUGUUUGAUUAACAGUUAUCCAUAGGUCGCUGGUUCGACUCCGGCUCGACGGA
rnacentral:tRNA from 1 species